GGAAGGUUUACAUGUUCCUUCAUGCUUCCAUUUAAUAUUGACGGAUACAAAGUUGAAUGAUUGCAUUCAACUCAUUGUUCUGGUGGCGUAAAUUCUGUAUGUAAGGAAAAGGUCAACAAAAAAAGGACUGUGGAACAGGGGAGCCAAGGAGGUUAAGGGAUGACCUGAUGGAGAUGCUCAAGAUUACAGGGUUUUUGAUAAAGAUGUUAUUCUAUCCUCUCCUGUGGUGUGGAUUCCAUUAUAUUUCCUACCACCGAUGUCAAGCUGAUUGGUCUACAGUUCCCUGGGCAUGGUCUGUCCCUUUUCUUAAAUAUAGGAAUUA